GAUGAACGCUAGCUACAGGCUUAACACAUGCAAGUCGCAGGGUAACAUGAGGAAAGCUUGCUUUCCUUGAUGACGACUGGCGCACGGGUGAGUAACGCGUAUCCAACCUUCCCAUAACUACGGGAUAACCCGUUGAAAGACGGCCUAAUACCGUAUGAUAUCGUUUGCUGACAUCAAAUAACGAUUAAAGGUUUAGCGGUUAUGGAUGGGGAUGCGUCUGAUUAGCUUGUUGGCGGGGUAACGGCCCACCAAGGCGACGAUCAGUAGGGGUUCUGAGAGGAAGGUCCCCCACAUUGGAACUGAGACACGGUCCAAACUCCUACGGGAGGCAGCAGUGAGGAAUAUUGGUCAAGGGGCGAGAGCCUGAACCAGCCAAGUAGCGUGCAGGACGACGGCCCUAGGGGUGGUAAACUGCUUUUAUGUGGGGAUAAAGUGCGUGACGUGUCAUGCAUUGCAGGUACCACAUGAAUAAGGACCGGCUAAUUCCGUG
rnacentral:rRNA from 1 species